UCAUCUACAGGGAGCUCCAUGUGCUUCCCA
rnacentral:piRNA from 1 species